rnacentral:rRNA from 1 species
GACGAACGCUGGCGGCGUGCCUAAUACAUGCAAGUAGAACGCUGAAGAGAGGAGCUUGCUCUUCUUGGAUGAGUUGCGAACGGGUGAGUAACGCGUAGGUAACCUGCCUUGUAGCGGGGGAUAACUAUUGGAAACGAUAGCUAAUACCGCAUAACAAUGGAUGACACAUGUCAUUUAUUUGAAAGGGGCAAUUUCUCCACUACAAGAUGGACCUUCGUUGUUUUAGCUAGUAGGUGAGGUAAUGGCUCACCUAGGCGACGAUACAUAGCCGACCUGAGAGGGUGAUCGGCCACACUGGGAAUGAGACAAGGGCCAGACUGCUACGGGAGGCAGCAGUAGGGAAUCUUCGGCAAUGGGGGCAACGCUGACCGAGCAACGCCGCGUGAGUGAAGAAGGGUUUCGGAUCGUAAAGCUCUGUUGUAAGUCAAGAACGGGUGUGAGAGUGGAAAGUUCACACUGUGACGGUAGCUGACCAGAAAGGGACGGCUAACUACGUG